rnacentral:rRNA from 1 species
GACGUAGGAGGCGAGCGUUGUCCGGAUUCAUUGGGCGUAAAGAGCACGCAGGCGGUUUGGCAAGUCGGAUGUGAAAACCCGAAGCUCAACUUCGGGCCUGCAUCCGAAACUGCCCGACUAGAGGUAGGUAGGGGAGAUCGGAAUUCCGAGUGUAGAGGUGAAAUUCGUAGAUAUUCGGAAGAACACCAGUGGCGAAGGCGGCUCACUGGCCCGUUACCGACGCUCAGGCGCGACAGCGUGGGGAGCAAACAGG